ACCUACGGCCAUACCACCCUGAACGUGCUGGAUCUCGUCUGAUCUCGAAAGCUAAAUAGGCAAUGAAUUAUUGAUUUUUGAAAAGAAAAAUUCUUGCUAUUAAUG
ensembl:rRNA 5S_rRNA 5S ribosomal RNA